rnacentral:rRNA from 1 species
CGGGGUGCACCAGGCGCGAAAACUUUACAAUGCUGGCAACAGCGAUAAGGGGACCUCGAGUGCCAGGAUACAAUCCUGGCUGUCGUAAUGCCUAAAAAGCAUUGCAUAGCAAGGGCCGGGCAAGACCGGUGCCAGCCGCCGCGGUAACACCGGCGGCUCGAGUGGUAACCGCUAUUAUUGGGUCUAAAGGGUCUGUAGCCGGCUGACUAAGUCUCUUGGGAAAUCUGGCAGCUCAACUGUCAGGCUUUCAGGAGAUACUGAUCGGCUCGAGACCGGGAGAGGUGAGAGGUACCUCAGGGGUAGGGGUGAAAUCUUGUAAUCCUUGAGGGACCACCAGUGGCGAAGGCGUCUCACCAGAACGGAUCUGACGGCAAGGGACGAAAGCUAGGGGCACGAACCGGAUUAGAUACCCGGGUAGUCCUAGCCGUAAACGAUACUCGCUAGGUGUCGGUCACGGUGCGACCGUGGUCGGUGCCGUAGGGAAGCCGUGAAGCGAGCCACCUGGGAAGUACGGCCGCAAGGCUGAAACUUAAAGGAAUUGGCGGGGGAGCACAAGGGCGAUUCGC